ensembl:miRNA
UCAUGACAAAUGGUGUACAGGAAAAUGACCUAUGAAUUGACAGACGAUGUGGCUGAAUUUGUCUGUCACUUCUAUAGGCCAAUAUUCUGUAUGUCUCUGCUACUUCA